GAGUUUGAUCAUGGCUCAGAUUGAACGCUGGCGGCAGGCCUAACACAUGCUAGUCGAGCGGCAGCGGGAAAGUAGCUUGCUACUUUUGCCGGCGAGCGGCGGACGGGUGAGUAAUGCCUGGGGAUCUGCCCAGUCGAGGGGGAUAACAGUUGGAAACGACUGCUAAUACCCCAUACGCCUACGGGGGAAAGGAGGGGACCUUCGGGCCUUUCGCGAUUGGAUGAACCCAGGUGGGAUUAGCUAGUUGGUGGGGUAAUGGCUCACCAAGGCGACGAUCCCUAGCUGGUCUGUGAGGAUGAUCAGCCACACUGGAACUGAGACACGGUCCAGACUCCUACGGGAGGCAGCAGUGGGGAAUAUUGCACAAUGGGGGAAACCCUGAUGCAGCCAUGCCGCGUGUGUGAAGAAGGGCUUCGGGUUGUAAAGCACUUUCAGCGAGGAGGAAAGGUUGGCAGCUAAUAUCUGUCAGCUGUGACGUUACUCGCAGAAGAAGCACCGGCUAACUCCGUGCCAGCAGCCGCGGUAAUACGGAGGGUGCAAGCGUUAAUCGGAAUUACUGGGCGUAAAGCGCACGCAGGCGGUUGGAUAAGUUAGAUGUGAAAGCCCCGGGCUCAACCUGGGAAUUGCAUUUAAAACUGUUCAGCUAGAGUCUUGUAGAGGGGGGUAGAAUUCCAGGUGUAGCGGUGAAAUGCGUAG
rnacentral:rRNA from 1 species